rnacentral:rRNA from 1 species
GAUGAACGCUGGCGGUCUGCUUAACACAUGCAAGUCGAACGAACUCUUCGGAGUGAGUGGCGGACGGGUGAGUAACGCGUGAGAAUCUGCCCGUGGGUCGGGGACAACCACUGGAAACGGUGGCUAAUACCGGAUGAGCCGAAAGGUAAAAAAUUUAUUGCCCACAGAUGAGCUCGCGUCUGAUUAGCUAGUUGGUAAGGUAAAAGCGUACCAAGGCGACGAUCAGUAGCUGGUCUGAGAGGAUGAGCAGCCACACUGGGACUGAGACACGGCCCAGACUCCUACGGGAGGCAGCAGUGGGGAAUUUUCCGCAAUGGGCGAAAGCCUGACGGAGCAAGACCGCGUGGGGGAGGAAGGUUUUUGGAUCGUAAACCCCUUUUGUCAAGGAAGAAGUUCUGACGGUACUUGACGAAUAAGCCUCGGCUAACUCCGUGCCAGCAGCCGCGGUAAUACGGAGGAGGCAAGCGUUAUCCGGAAUGAUUGGGCGUAAAGCGUCUGUAGGUGGCCAGCUAAGUCUGCUGUUAAAGAUCACAGCUCAACUGUGGGAAGGCAGUGGAAACUGGCAAGCUAGAGGCUGGUAGGGGUAAAGGGAAUUCCCGGUGUAGCGGUGAAAUGCGUA